rnacentral:rRNA from 1 species
AUUGAACGCUGGCGGCAGGCCUAACACAUGCAAGUCGAGCGGAUGAAGGGAGCCUGCUCCUGGAUUCAGCGGCGGACGGGUGAGUAAUGCCUAGGAAUCUGCCUGGUAGUGGGGGAUAACGUCCGGAAACGGGCGCUAAUACCGCAUACGUCCUGAGGGAGAAAGUGGGGGAUCUUCGGACCUCACGCUAUCAGAUGAGCCUAGGUCGGAUUAGCUAGUUGGUGGGGUAAAGGCCUACCAAGGCGACGAUCCGUAACUGGUCUGAGAGGAUGAUCAGUCACACUGGAACUGAGACACGGUCCAGACUCCUACGGGAGGCAGCAGUGGGGAAUAUUGGACAAUGGGCGAAAGCCUGAUCCAGCCAUGCCGCGUGUGUGAAGAAGGUCUUCGGAUUGUAAAGCACUUUAAGUUGGGAGGAAGGGCAGUAAGUUAAUACCUUGCUGUUUUGACGUUACCAACAGAAUAAGCACCGGCCAACUUCGUG